rnacentral:rRNA from 1 species
CCAAUAGCGUAUAUUAAAGUUGUUGCAGUUAAAAAGCUCGUAGUUGAAUUUCGGGAUCAAUAUGUCGGUCGUGCCUUCGGUACGUACUGGCAUCAUUGGUUUCUCCCUUCUGACAAACCAUGAUGUCAUUAAUUUGGUGUUAUGGGGAGUUAGGACUGUUACUUUGAAAAAAUUAGAGUGUUUAAAGCAGGCAUUAGCUUGAAUACAUUAGCAUGGAAUAAUGAAAUAGGACGUUUGACCCUAUUUUGUUGGUUUCUAGGAUCGACGUAAUGAUUAAUAGGGAUAGUUGGGGGCAUUAGUAUUCAAUUGUAAGAGGUGAAAUUCUUGGAUUUAUUGAAGACUAACUACUGCGAAAGCAUUUGCCAAGGAUGUUUUCAUUAAUCAAGAACGAAAGUUAGGGGAUCGAAGACGAUCAGAUACCGUCGUAGUCUUAACCAUAAACUAUGCCGACUAGGGAUCGGAUGAUGUUAAUUUUUUAAUGACUCAUUCGGCGCCUUACG